UACAGAGGGUGCAAGCGUUAAUCGGAAUUACUGGGCGUAAAGCGUGCGUAGACGGCUAUUUAAGUCAGGUGUGAAAGCCCCGGGCUCAACCUGGGAAUUGCAUUUGAGACUGAAUAGCUAGGGUGCGGAAGAGGGAAGCGGAAUUUCCGGUGUAGCGGUGAAAUGCGUAGAUAUCGGAAGGAACACCGGUGGCGAAAGCGGCGCGCUGGAUCCCUACUGACGCUGAGGCGCGAAAGCCAGGGGAGCAAACGGG
rnacentral:rRNA from 1 species